UUAGAAAUGGUGUAGUGGGAGCACGGCCUCUUAGUAUUGAGGGGGAUUACGAGAUUGAGAGGCAGUCCAGGGUUCGACUCCCUGUGUCUGAA